rnacentral:rRNA from 1 species
GCAAGUCGAACGCGAAAGUUCCCUUCGGGGGGCGAGUAGAGUGGCGUCCGGGUGAGUAACACGUAGGUAAUCUACCUUUGGGUGGGGAAUAACAAUCGGAAACGGUUGCUAAUACCGCAUAAUGCAGCGGCACCGCAUGGUGACAGUUGUUAAAGCGGGGGAUCGCAUGACCUCGCGCCUAGAGAGGAGCCUGUGGCGGAUUAGCUAGUUGGCAGGGUAACGGCCUACCAAGGCAACGAUCCGUAGCCGGCCUGAGAGGGCGGUCGGCCACACUGACACUGAAAUACGGGUCAGACUCCUACGGGAGGCAGCAGUCGGGAAUUUUGGGCAAUGGGCGCAAGCCUGACCCAGCAACGCCGCGUGAAGGAUGAAAUCCCUCGGGAUGUAAACUUCGCAAGAGUGGGAAGAAUAAGUAGGGGAUAAUACCCUCUAUGAUGACGGUACCAUUUGUAAGCUCCGGCUAACUCCGUGCCAGCAGCCGCGGUAAUACGGGGGGAGCAAGCGUUGUUCGGAUUUACUGGGCGUAAAGGGCGCGUAGGCGGCCAGUGCAAGUCAGUUGUGAAAUCUCCGAGCUUAACUCGGAAAGGUCAACUGAUACUGCUCGGCUAGAGUGCGGAAGGGGCAACUGGAAUUCUUGGUGUAGCGGUGAAAUGCGUAGAUAUCAAGAGGAACACCUGCGGCGAGGGCGGGUUGCUGGGCCGACACUGACGCUUAUGCGCGAAAGCUAGGGGAGCGAACGGGAUUAGA